rnacentral:rRNA from 1 species
AACGAACGCUGGCGGCAUGCCUAACACAUGCAAGUCGAACGAGACCUUCGGGUCUAGUGGCGCACGGGUGCGUAACGCGUGGGAAUCUGCCCUUGGGUUCGGAAUAACAGUUGGAAACGACUGCUAAUACCGGAUGAUGACGUAAGUCCAAAGAUUUAUCGCCCAGGGAUGAGCCCGCGUAGGAUUAGCUAGUUGGUGGGGUAAAGGCCUACCAAGGCGACGAUCCUUAGCUGGUCUGAGAGGAUGAUCAGCCACACUGGGACUGAGACACAGCCCAGACUCCUACGGGAGGCAGCAGUGGGGAAUAUUGGACAAUGGGCGAAAGCCUGAUCCAGCAAUGCCGCGUGAGUGAUGAAGGCCUUAGGGUUGUAAAGCUCUUUUACCCGGGAUGAUAAUGACAGUACCGGGAGAAUAAGCCCCGGCUAACUCCGUG